GAUGAACGCUGGCGGCGUGCCUAAUACAUGCAAGUCGAGCGAACAGAUAAGGAGCUUGCUCCUUUGACGUUAGCGGCGGACGGGUGAGUAACACGUGUGUAACCUACCUAUAAGACUGGAAUAACUACGGGAAACCGGGGCUAAUGCCGGAUAACAUUUAGAACCGCAUGGUUCUAAAGUGAAAGAUGGUUUUGCUAUCACUUAUAGAUGGACCCGCGCCGUAUUAGCUAGUUGGUAAGGUAACGGCUUACCAAGGCAACGAUACGUAGCCGAACUGAGAGGGUGAUCGGCCACACUGGAACUGAGACACGGUCCAGACUCCUACGGGAGGCAGCAGUAGGGAAUCUUCCGCAAUGGGCGAAAGCCUGACGGAGCAACGCCGCGUGAGUGAUGAAGGUCUUCGGAGCGUAAAACUCUGUUAUUAGUGAAGAACAAAUGUGUAAGUAACUGUGCACGUCUUGACGGUACCUAGUCAGAAAGCCACGGCUAACUACGUG
rnacentral:rRNA from 1 species